rnacentral:lncRNA from 1 species
GAGCGUGAUUGGCCACAGGAGGUGGGCGGGCGCCCAGUAGGACAGGGCGGGCGCCCUGUCUCUGGCCCCGAUUCGCCUCCGCUUCGGUCUUGUGGCUUCUGGAGUCUUCUAGAUGUAAGAUAAUUGCGCGGCACGUUAAUAUCUUUACGUAAUCCCGACGUGUGGGCCUUUCUUCCUUAUUUCCUGAUAACCCCCUGCAGAAAUAGACAAACACCAAAACUCGUGGAAUUCUGUCAGAUAAAACCCUAAGUCUAGAUGUUGAUUUCAUUUGGAUCCUUUUCUUUGUUUAUUUGAUAAUUAAAUUUGAUACUUAAGGACCGUCAACAGCGCGUAAGUGAGAG